rnacentral:lncRNA from 1 species
GGACUGGCUUGAAGUCUGCUCUGCCCCUGUCCUGGAGCAGUUUGGGGGCUGGAUGUGGAGCUGUGGGGGGAACGCAGGGUGAGCCCUCGAGGUCACGAGCUGGGGCAGAUGAGGCCAAAGGAGUCAAACCCCAAAGUGUCUGCUCCAGUUUCUGCACCUUCCCAGGCAUUGUGUGCCUCCCCUUAUCUGGGCUGAUAUUUGCAGUGCUGAUAAGAGAGGGUCUGUAACAAGUGUGCUGUGCCACAGAUAAAACCUGCAGUGCGUAAGAGCUGUUCCAGCUCGGGCUUAUCUGCACUAUGAAACCUGAAUAUCAGCAGGGCUUCGGGGAUGAGGCUGCCCUGGCUCCCUCAGCACAGAACAUUCAACCAGGGAUUGUGCUGCGAGUGCUGCUGCUCUGUUUUUCUCUGGUGCAAAAGCCAAAGGAUGAACCCUUGUUUUUGCCCAAGAAUCCCAAGACAGUGGUUGGGCCCUGGCACAGGUUGUGCAAGGCAGCUGUGGCUGCCCCAUUCCUGGAAGUUGUCAAGAGAUGAGAUUGGAUUUGUCCUUCAGGAGCAUUUCCAAGGCAAAUCUGUCAUAAGCCAGGCCUAGACAGAGCAGCACGGGAGGAGAUGCUGAUCUCUCCACUUAGACUUCACUGUGGGCACGUGAGUUAAGCUGGAACUGAACAAUUCCAUGUGCCACAUUCAGGAAUAAUAAACCAUUGGCUAUUCCAAGCUUGAGGAUGUGA